rnacentral:rRNA from 1 species
UCNAAUGCAACCUUNAACAUACCCCUUUGAAGUAUCAGAAUGUACCUUGCGUUAACUCGCACAAAUACAACUUUCAACAACGGAUCUCUUGGCUCUCGCAUCGAUGAAGAACGCAGCGAAAUGCGAUAAGUAAUGUGAAUUGCAGAAUUCAGUGAAUCAUCGAAUCUUUGAACGCACCUUGCGCCCCUUGGCAUUCCGAGGGGCACGCCUGUUUGAGUGUCGUGAACUCCUCCACCCUCUACCUUUUUCGGAAGGCAUUGGGCUGGGAUUUGGGAGCUUGCGGGUCCCUGGUCGAUCCGCUCUCCUUGAAUACAUUAGCGAAGCCCUUGCGGCCUUGGUGUGAUAAUCAUCUACGCCUCGGUUUAGCGAACAUAGGGGACUCGCUUCCAACCGUCUCGCAAGAGACAACAUUGCAAACUUGACCUCAAAU